rnacentral:rRNA from 1 species
GACGAACGCUGGCGGCGUGCUUAACACAUGCAAGUCGAACGAUGAAGGGUAGUAUCGAAGCCUCGGCAGAAAUUAACUUCGAAUUAGUGGCAGACGGGUGAGUAACGCGUGAGCAACAUACCUCCUACAAAGGCAUAGCCUCGGGAACCCGGGAUUAAUACCACAUAACAUUGUGACUACGCCUUUCGAUGCAAUUAAAGGGACGGCGGCAGAGGAGGGCCUUGCGUCUGAGUAGCUAGUUGGUGAGGUACUGGCUCACAAUGGCGACGAUCAGUAGCUGGUCCGAGAGGAUGAUGAGCCAGACUGGGACUGAGAGACGGACCAGAGUCCUACGGGAGGCAGCAGUGGGGAAUUUUCCGCAAUGGGCGAAAGCCUGAGGGAGCAAUGCCGCGUGGAGGUAGAAGGAGCACGGGUAGUGAAAUUCUUUUCUCGGAGAAGAAACAAUGACGGUAUCUGAGGAAUAAGCAUCGGCUAACUCUGUG